UAUGAGAACGCUUCAAAAGUUGGUUUGAGCAGCAAUUAGAACCGUUGUAUCAAAAAUCAUCACAACUGACCAAUAAAUAAUUUCGAAAGAAAAAACAUUUUUAAAGAAGAGAGGGAGUCGACCGUCGAGUGGGGAUUAAUCAAUGACUGAAUGAGUAUCGAUUGAGAUUUAUUGGACAAUGCAAAAUGACUAAUAAUUUGGAUGGAAUGUGUUGGAGCUCCUAUUUACCUGUUCAAGUCUUGAUGAUACUCCUCUAUCUCGAGGUCGUCUGUGUCUCAGGAUGUGUUUUUCAUUGGAGUAGAAUCCAACUUACACUACACAAGGAGCAUAAUUGUUUUCCGUGCCUAAGCUUCAGGAACAAAUGAAAUGUUGGAUCAUCAGAAUAUAUAUUAACUAAAGGCUUAUUCAUAUUUACUAUCUAGUUUCCAAUGCUAAAUCCAACAUUUUCCUCAAGGUUUCUGGUUAUCAAUGUCUGAAAAGCUACUACAGUAAGACAUCUAAUUCAAAAUAUAUUUUUUUACUGUGUUAUUUAUCCGUUUUGUUAUAAUUGAAAUAUGUAGUAUAAAACUAUCAAUUGUUGUAAA
rnacentral:lncRNA from 1 species